CAGCAUAUACAAAAAUCAAAUGGAUUAAAGACUUGAAUGUAAAAUCUGAAACCGUAAAACUCCUAGGAGAAAAAAUAGGGGAAAAGCUCUUUGACAUUGGUCUGGGCGAUGAUUUCUUGGAUAUGACACCAAAAGCACAGGCAACAAAAGCAAAAAUUAAAAAGCGGGACUACAUCAAACUAAAAAUCUGCACAGCAAAGAAAACAAUCAACAAAGUGAGAAGCCAAUCUACUGAACGGGAGAAAAUAUUUUAAAACCACCUAGCCAAUAAAGGGAGUUACCUUUCAUGGAAGGGUAAGCAGGAAGCAACUACAAGAUCAUCAUUUCAAAACAAUAUGAAAGCAGAAUGGGAAAUGCCAUGGCAUGCUCCCUCUUUUCAGGCAAUAUGGACACUUUGGGGAAGUUAUGAAGCGUCUCCCAUUCCCGCUUGAGGUACUCAAUAGAGCCCACAAACACAAUGUGCUUGAGCUCAUGGUAAUGAAAGUUGCUGGCACGGAGCGGCAUCACCAGGUUCCGGAGGCCGAUCAGGGCUGAGCUGACGUCGCCAAAGAUGCAGACCACGACAUGGCCACUCAGGACGGUCAUGGCAGCUUCACU
rnacentral:lncRNA from 1 species